GAUGGAGUUGGGGUCCUGUGCGCCUGUCCCCCACAGCCGGCCAGCGGAGAGCCCCGCGCAACCACCUCUGGUCCGACACCCCUUCCCCGCUGCUCUCCGCUCCUGCGAUGGGAAAAGUUGGCAACUGCCGCUCGCUUCUCGGUCCUCCGCGCCCCGGGCGCCUGCGGCUGCGGCUCCUGGGGUGUCCCGCGGUCCCACGGCACGACAACGAGGACCCCCGCACCAGUACCUGCGAUGACCGGCUCCUGCUACUCCCUGCACUUUACAGAGCGCCGCCAGCUCUGAGCGCUGCCGGAGGUGAGCAGCAGUGGAGCCGGAGUAGAACCCCUGGGGGCUUUGGACAGCCAAAGCCUACAACGCCGGAGCAGGAGUAAGAAAGAGAAAGCCACAGGCUUUCUGGAUGGAGGAGCUGACGGUGACCAGCAGCAUGUUAGCGAUGACGAGGACGUCCGCUCACAUAAACCGUUCCGUGGGUCUGACCGCGACUGCACUGUAUUUUCUGAGCACCUAAUAUGUUCAAGGCACCUACCAAAAGGUGUGUGUGAAGUGGUGUGAAAAGUUGUGAAUAUUCAUGUCAGGCAGAAGAAGACGCGUAUCAUGCGGAUGGCAAAACUGCUCGAGAAGUAAAGGUGACCAUCCCUUCACCAACAUGCUGGACAAAGGGUCCUCCGGCCUCAGACUGAACUCUGCCUGGCUGGGGAGCUGCCUUCCUCAGGAGCUCUGAUUUUCAGAAGAUUCUUCCUUGUGCUGGGAUGAAAUCUGAACCCUUCAGUAUCUUUCACCUGCUCGUUUCUGUUUCACUUCUGGAUCCAAGACUACAUUUCAUCCCAAAGGUGUUCCAUAUAUUGAGGAUUACUGUAAAA